rnacentral:rRNA from 1 species
AGAGUUUGAUCCUGGCUCAGGACGAACGCUGGCGGCGUGCUUAACACAUGCAAGUCGAACGGAAAGGCCUCUUCGGAGGUACUCGAGUGGCGAACGGGUGAGUAACACGUGGGCAAUCUGCCCUGCACUUCGGGAUAAGCCUGGGAAACUGGGUCUAAUACCGGAUAGGACCUCAAGACGCAUGUCUUCUGGUGGAAAGCCUUUGCGGUGUGGGAUGGGCCCGCGGCCUAUCAGCUUGUCGGUGGGGUGACGGCCUACCAAGGCGACGACGGGUAGCCGGCCUGAGAGGGUGUCCGG